GAUGAACGCUGGCGGCGUGCCUAAUACAUGCAAGUCGAGCGAACAGACGAGGAGCUUGCUCCUCUGACGUUAGCGGCGGACGGGUGAGUAACACGUGGAUAACCUACCUAUAAGACUGGAUAACUUCGGGAAACCGGAGCUAAUACCGGAUAAUAUAUUGAACCGCAUGGUUCAAUAGUGAAAGACGGUUUUGCUGUCACUUAUAGAUGGAUCCGCGCCGCAUUAACUAGUUGGUAAGGUAACGGCUUACCAAGGCAACGAUGCGUAGCCGACCUGAGAGGGUGAUCGGCCACACUGGAACUGAGACACGGUCCAGACUCCUACGGGAGGCAGCAGUAGGGAAUCUUCCGCAAUGGGCGAAAGCCUGACGGAGCAACGCCGCGUGAGUGAUGAAGGUCUUCGGAUCGUAAAACUCUGUUAUUAGGGAAGAACAAAUGUGUAAGUAACUAUGCACGUCUUGACGGUACCUAAUCAGAAAGCCACGGCUAACUACGUG
rnacentral:rRNA from 1 species